rnacentral:rRNA from 1 species
UGCAAGUCGAGCGAAUGGAUUAAGAGCUUGCUCUUAUGAAGUUAGCGGCGGACGGGUGAGUAACACGUGGGUAACCUGCCCAUAAGACUGGGAUAACUCCGGGAAACCGGGGCUAAUACCGGAUAACAUUUUGAACUGCAUGGUUCGAAAUUGAAAGGCGGCUUCGGCUGUCACUUAUGGAUGGACCCGCGUCGCAUUAGCUAGUUGGUGAGGUAACGGCUCACCAAGGCAACGAUGCGUAGCCGACCUGAGAGGGUGAUCGGCCACACUGGGACUGAGACACGGCCCAGACUCCUACGGGAGGCAGCAGUAGGGAAUCUUCCGCAAUGGACGAAAGUCUGACGGAGCAACGCCGCGUGAGUGAUGAAGGCUUUCGGGUCGUAAAACUCUGUUGUUAGGGAAGAACAAGUGCUAGUUGAAUAAGCUGGCACCUUGACGGUACCUAACCAGAAAGCCACGGCUAACUACGUGCCAGCAGCCGCGGUAAUACGUAGGUGGCAAGCGUUAUCCGGAAUUAUUGGGCGUAAAGCGCGCGCAGGUGGUUUCUUAAGUCUGAUGUGAAAGCCCACGGCUCAACCGUGGAGGGUCAUUGGAAACUGGGAGACUUGAGUGCAGAAAGAGGAAAGUG